CUCGUUUUAUAUAUUUUUACCUUUGCAACUAAUCGCGUGGCAUAUAACUAAGGGGGCAUAGGAGGUUUUCACAGACUGUUAUUCGUUUAGCUAACUUGUACAUGCCCAUAACCUGGCUAAUUAACGAAUAGCGUGCAAUCUGCCCGCGCACCAGGAUGAAAAGCGAGGAGGGAAAAGGGUCCUGCGCCAUGACUUGCUUGUUGUUGUCCGGAUACCAAAUCAGGUGCCAAAGAUGACACCAAGUAUAUAACGUAUAUAUGUAUAUAUAAACAUUUAUAUAGAUAUACAUUUAUCAUAUUUAACAUCGAAAUCAAAAGCAAGCUAAAUAUUUGGAUUUUAUUUCCGUUCAUAUAUAUUUACUUAUACAAAGCACG
rnacentral:sRNA from 1 species